rnacentral:lncRNA from 1 species
UCAUUCUCUUUGUUCUUCUUCUUCUUCUUCUUCUUCUUCUUCUUUUUCUUCUUUUCAAUUUCAUCACUCCCUACAUCAAUUGCACCAUCAACAACAGCAAUAGCCUCAAUAGCAUCCUCAUUUUCAUUGCUCUUCUUCUUCUUCUUUUUCUUCUUUUCAAUUUCAUCACUCCCUACAUCAAUUGCACCAUCAACAACAGCAAUAGACUCAAUAGCAUCCUCAUUUUCGUUGCUCUUUUUCUUCUUUUCAAUUUCAUCACUCCCCACAUCAAUUGCACCAUCAACAACAGCAAUAGCCUCAAUAGCAUCCUCAUUUUCAUUGCUCUUCUUCUUCUUCUUUUUCUUCUUUUCAAUUUCAUCACUCCCUACAUCAAUUGCACCAUCAACAACAGCAAUAGACUCAAUAGCAUCCUCAUUUUCGUUGCUCUUUUUCUUCUUUUCAAUUUCAUCACUCCCCACAUCAAUUGCACCAUCAACAACAGCAAUAGCCUCAAUAGCAUCCUCAUUUCCAUUGCUCUUCUUCUUCUUCUUUUUCUUAUUUUCAAUUUCAUCACUCCCUACAUCAAUUGCACCAUCAACAACAGCAAUAGCCUCAAUAGCCUCCUCAUUCUCUUUGUUCUUCUUCUUCUUCUUCUUCUUUUUCUUCUUUUCAAUUUCAUCACUCCCUGCAUCAAUUGCAUUAUCAACAACAGCAACAGCAAUAUCCUCAAUAGCAUCCUCAUUUUCAUUGCUCUUCUUCUUUUUCUUUUUAUUCUUUUCAAUUUCAUUACUCCCUAC